GACGAACGCUGGCGGCGUGCUUAACACAUGCAAGUGGAGCGACGAACCGGGCUUCGGCCCGGGGCAGAGCCGCGAACGGGUGAGUAACACGUGGGUGACCUGCCCUGAUGACCGGGACAACCCGAGGAAACUCGGGCUAGUACCGGAUGUGCUCCCAGCCAUAGCCGGCUGGGUGGAAAGGUAGCUUCGGCUUCCGCGUCAGGCGGGGCCCGCGGCGCAUUAGCUUGUUGGUGGGGUAAUGGCCUACCAAGGCGACGAUGCGUAGCUGGUCUGAGAGGACGAUCAGCCACACUGGGACUGAGACACGGCCCAGACUCCUACGGGAGGCAGCAGUGGGGAAUCUUGCGCAAUGCGCGAAAGCGUGACGCAGCAACGCCGCGUGGGGGAAGAAGGCCUUCGGGUUGUAAACCUCUUUCAGUUGGGACGAAGGUUCGGCGGUGAAUAGCCGUCCGGACUGACGGUACCUUCACAAGAAGCCCCGGCUAACUACGUGCCAGCCGCCGCGGUAAAAC
rnacentral:rRNA from 1 species